UAACUAGGACCCGCCGGUCGGGUCAAGUGGUGCCCAGACGUGGAGCUCGAGGCACGGAUUCCUCCGAACGGACCCUCAUUGAGAAGUGGCCACGACAUCAAGAUUGAGUGAGACAGCGAUCCUCCCCCGCGACCUAUCGUCCUCGGGUUGCGGUCCUCCUCGCCCCCAUGAAUAACUAGGACCCGCCGGUCGGGUCAAUGGAGGACAAUGGCAAAGAAAGUGUUUCUUCUGUUUUGCUGGGGCAGACUCCUAACUGGUCUGCUCCUGUGAGGACACCAUAUACUGACCCAUCCCAGAGGUCUGCUCCCAUGAAGACACC